AUUGAACGCUAGCGGGAUGCUUUACACAUGCAAGUCGAACGGCAGCGCGGACUUCGGUCUGGCGGCGAGUGGCGAACGGGUGAGUAAUGUAUCGGAACGUGCCCAGUAGCGGGGGAUAACUACGCGAAAGCGUAGCUAAUACCGCAUACGCCCUACGGGGGAAAGCAGGGGAUCGUAAGACCUUGCACUAUUGGAGCGGCCGAUAUCGGAUUAGCUAGUUGGUGAGGUAACGGCUCACCAAGGCGACGAUCCGUAGCUGGUUUGAGAGGACGACCAGCCACACGGGGAAGGGGACACGGCCCCAACCCCUACGGGAGGGCGGAGGGGGGAAUUUUGGAAAAUGGGGGCAACCCUGUCCCAGCCACCCCGCGUGUGCGAAGAAGGCCUUGGGGUUGAAAAGCACUUUUGGGAGGAAAAAAACGUCGCGGGCUAAUACCCCGGGGAACUGGCGGUACCUGCAGAAUAAGCCCCGGCUAACUACGU
rnacentral:rRNA from 1 species